AAUUAAUUCUUCAUCAUGCUUGCUAUCACAAUUCGAAUUAAGAUAGAUAGAUACUGUAGAUUAAAUAAAGAAACAUUGGUGGUAAAUACAACUUUUCACAAGUCGUGGUUUGUACUUUCAGAAAAAACAAAAAACAAAUAUGAUUGUACGUGUCUCUUGCUUGUUUCAGAUCAACCUUUACCAGCACCAACCAGCAACGCGGGGCCAGUUGUCGGGGGCAUCAUUGCCGCCAUAAUCAUCUUGUGUUUGAUCGGCGCUGGGGUGGCCAUGUACCACAAACGCCGCCAGAGCAUGGCAAACGGAGAAGGCCCCCCCAAACACAAGCCGCCUCCGCCGAUGAAGUCUGGCAGCUCGACAGAAAUGCUGAAUAAACCACAGGACAAGACCACAACCAUCACCGAAACUCAGCCGCUCAGCAACUACGAGACAAACUAUUACGAAACCAACUCUGCAGAGCCUGUUACUGAUCUAGAUGAUGACAACACCGGCCCUCCGGCUAACGGCGGCACCCCCACUGUCUGGGACGGCUCGGGACAACCUCCCGAAAAGGACGACACGACCGACGAGACCCUUCCACCGUACGAGCCAGCUGACCAGAAUGACGUCGAAGCUGUCUAUACUAACGUAGCCCGUGAAGAAAGUUUCAUGUCCAAGGCCAUGUUGGUCUAAAGAUGUAGGCUGUGCCUGCGAUUUGCACUGCCACCGUCCUGUCCAGCCGCGGACGCCCGUUACAGCACAGCCGACUAUAGUCCACGGCUCGGGCACAAACACAUUCAAAAUCACAGCCUGGUGACAUUUCUUUUCCACGUGGCUAACUGACCUUUUAACCUAUUCUCAUGAUUUUGUCAAUGGUCCAUAAAACAUUUAUACAAUUUGGUCCAGAUGGGAUUUUGGACAUUUGAUGAUGUAUGACAAGAACUACUUAAUCAAGCAAUUGAUUAGCAAUUAAUGGUGAAACAAAACCAUGAGAAUUGGUCAUUAUUCACUUUUGGGCUACCAUGUUACAUUUAUUUGAAUCGUGGUUAUGUGAAAAAACAUACAGAGCAGACACAUUCAGAAAACGUUUAAUUUUCAUGAAAGGUCUAAAUCUAAAAAUUGCUUUCAGUAUUUUAAAAUACACUGCAUAUACUAUCAAACGUUGCUUAUGUUUUAUGAUCUGUAUUUUUUAUUUUGCAAUCUCGGUGUAGUGCUCUUUUAAGCUUUAGCUUUCGUCGGUUUCGUGCAUUAACUUCUGUGAUGAGGGA
rnacentral:lncRNA from 1 species